UUCUUUGUCUUUCCUCCAGCAUGAAGUAGUGCUGACCAAAUAAUAAACAAAAAUAUGUUGUCAUCCACAGCCUCUUGCGGGAUGGAGAAGAAGUCUGACAACUUAACUUGGCUUUGCUAUCCCUCAUGGGCAAGCAUGCUUCCUUUCCUCUCUCUGAUUCAUUGCAAGAGUAAUGUGUCUUGUCCUGCUGCCAAUACCACCACAAUGGAUUACGGUGCUUCUCUGAAUAGAGAUACUGGAGUCAAGCCCGAAAGAGACCUCCCUUUGGGCUGGCAGAUAGUGAGAUUGCCCUGAGCUCUCAUGUUCCUUCACCUCCCACUGCCCCUUGCAGAGCGAUAUUUAUCAGUGCGGGCAUAUGUACACAAAUGCUAACUAUAUAUACACCUGGAUGCAAAAGUUCUACCUUGCAACUCUGUAUACAAUCGUUG
rnacentral:lncRNA from 1 species